rnacentral:rRNA from 1 species
AGAGUUUGAUCCUGGCUCAGGAUGAACGCUAGCUACAGGCUUAACACAUGCAAGUCGAGGGGAAACGGCAUUGAGUGCUUGCACUCUUUGGACGUCGACCGGCGCACGGGUGAGUAACGCGUAUCCAACCUUCCCAUUACUGUGGGAUAACCUGCCGAAAGGCAGACUAAUACCGCAUAGUCUUCGAUGACGGCAUCAGAUUUGAAGUAAAGAUUUAUCGGUAAUGGAUGGGGAUGCGUCUGAUUAGCUUGUUGGCGGGGUAACGGCCCACCAAGGCGACGAUCAGUAGGGGUUCUGAGAGGAAGGUCCCCCACAUUGGAACUGAGACACGGUCCAAACUCCUACGGGAGGCAGCAGUGAGGAAUAUUGGUCAAUGGACGUAAGUCUGAACCAGCCAAGUAGCGUGCAGGAUGACGGCCCUAUGGGUUGUAAACUGCUUUUAUGCGGGGAUAAAGGUGCCCACGUGUGGGCUUUUGCAGGUACCGCAUGAAUAAGGACCGGCUAAUUCCGUGCCAGCAGCCGCGGUAAUACGGAAGGUCCGGGCGUUAUCCGGAUUUAUUGGGUUUAAAGGGAGCGUAGGCCGCCCCUUAAGCGUGUUGUGAAAUGCGGGUGCUCAACAUCCGACUUGCAGCGCGAACUGGGGGGCUUGAGUGCGCCGAAAGUAGGCGGAAUUCGUGGUGUAGCGGUGAAAUGCUUAGAUAUCACGAAGAACUCCGAUUGCGAAGGCAGCUUACUGUAGCGCAACUGACGCUGAUGCUCGAAAGCGUGGGUAUCGAACAGGAUUAGAUACCCUGGUAGUCCACGCGGUAAACGAUGGAUGCUCGUUGUCGGCCUUUGUGGUCGGUGACCAAGCGAAAGCGUUAAGCAUCCCACCUGGGGAGUACGCCGGCAACGGUGAAACUCAAAGGAAUUGACGGGGGCCCG